rnacentral:rRNA from 1 species
UUUCCUACGGGAGGCAGCAGUGAGGAAUAUUGGUCAAUGGCCGGAAGGCUGAACCAGCCAAGCCGCGUGAAGGACGAAGGUGCCAAGCAUUGUAAACUUCUUUUGUCAAGGGACAAAAUCAGGCUCGAGAGCCUGACCGAGGGUACUUGAAGAAAAAGCAUCGGCUAACUCCGUGCCAGCAGCCGCGGUAAUACGGAGGAUGCGAGCGUUAUCCGGAUUUAUUGGGUUUAAAGGGUGCGUAGGCGGACUGUUAAGUCAGCGGUAAAAGCCCGGGGCUCAACCCCGGGAGUGCAUUUGAAACUGUC